CACGGCCCCAAGUCCGGCUCUGGCCGCUUAUUGCACGUACUGUGCCUGCCUUUCGCCUGUCCCCGCGAAACGGGAGACACGGGAGGAGCCGGGAAUAAUGGAGUGGAUCAGGAGGUCCUGGUAGACUCCUGGCACACAGAGAUGGCAGCAGUGCUCGGAUGAUUCUCUGUGGAGGAAGUGGUCUAUUCGUAUAGGAAGGUGAUUUUACUUCUGUGGAAAGGAGGGGUGAGUUACUACCCCUGAGGGACAACUGGUAUUGUACAUAUCCAAAAGGAAGAGCCAGGACAGGAAGAAGCAUACAACACUCAAUUCACAGAGUAGGACUUGCCAUACAGUUAAUGAAAUGCCUAAAUGACAAAUGCAGUGCCCUGAAACCUGUCACGAGAGACUUCCAAAGACAGUCACAAAAGACAAAGCGCUGAAGCUCCACUAAUUUGCAGGGAUUGGCCUGUCCCUGCCGCCGGCUAGAGCAGGGAGCCUGUGCCUAUGAGGUGUGAGCACAGCUGGCUCUUGGAUGUGUUCCAAUCCUUUUGGCAACAGCUGAGAGAUGAUGCCCAUCCAAUAAAUGGGGUCCACUCUAAAAAC